CCUACGGGUGGCUGCAGUGGGGAAUAUUGGACAAUGGGCGAAAGCCUGAUCCAGCCAUGCCGCGUGUGUGAAGAAGGCCUUCGGGUUGUAAAGCACUUUCAGUGGGGAAGAAAGCCUUGGGGCUAAUACCCUCGAGGAAGGACAUCACCCACAGAAGAAGCACCGGCUAACUCCGUGCCAGCAGCCGCGGUAAUACGGAGGGUGCGAGCGUUAAUCGGAAUUACUGGGCGUAAAGCGCGCGUAGGCGGUCUGAUAAGCCGGUUGUAAAAGCCCCGGGCUCAACCUGGGAACGGCAUCCGGAACUGUCAGGCUAGAGUGCAGGAGAGGAAGGUAGAAUUCCCGGUGUAGCGGUGAAAUGCGUAGAGAUCGGGAGGAAUACCAGUGGCGAAGGCGGCCUUCUGGACUGACACUGACGCUGAGGUGCGAAAGCGUGGGUAGCAAACAGGAUUAGAUACCCGAGUAGUC
rnacentral:rRNA from 1 species